rnacentral:lncRNA from 1 species
UUUAAACGUUACGUAACAAUCAAUUUUUAUAAUUAGCCCUAAAGUCGCAAAAAGUUAUAGUUUUUAUCUUUGGUUUUAAUUUAAUUGCCUUUGCGAUCAUAAUCCACACUAAUAUUAUACAUGCGAAUAAUGCAUAGACUAAUUGUCAGUCUCAGUCUAAGUACCUACAUUAUAAAUAUUGUUGUAUAUUUUAAGAAACAACUAAUGAAAUAAGAAAUAAUGAAAAAUGGCCCGGUUCUUAGUACCAGUACCCAUCCUACUUUAUGGACGUGUACGAAGCCAACUUCAAUGGGUUACGGGCGUGAGUAAAUAAAUUACAGUUAGAGUAAUUUCACCAUGCAAAUAAAAUAUUACAAGUUUUAAACUAUGCGCCACGGCGCCCUGGUGCGCCAUAGAAAGUAAAGAGGGGCGCUGCGAGUCGCGGUCCAUUAUUAUAAUCCCAAACCAAAAAUAAUCGCGAGAGUCUCUCACUCGCCCAAAAAGUACCUACUUACUCCGUUGAAAAAAGAUUUGGUUCUGCUGGAUCCUGCAUGCGAUCUUCGGGCUGUCUAUACUCCGCCGGAUAUGUUAUAAGCGCUCCGCGCAGGAGCAUUAGUCGCUAUAAACAGGGCAUCCAAGUUGUAUUUUUUGAAGUGUUCAAUCGCAAAAUUUUUGACUUUAUGAUAACGCGGGUUUUUAUCCUGCCCACCAUCUACAAAGAUGAUGAUCACUGGCUUCACGCUGGUCGAUUCUGUCAUCAUUAAGGGUUUGAAUGAAGGUUUUGAUAAAAGGGGAGGAUGCAUGUUUCCCGCUUCUUAUGGAUAUGUAUGUCGACCCGCUGUACCCAACAGCGAACACCUUACCGAAAUUGUUAUGUUCCAUAUUGACGCCGACAUAUACAGAAGGAAUAAGUUUGUGCCGCUCUGCCACGACCCAGUAAUGAUCAGGUAAAAGUAUUCUGUAUUCCAUAUGCAUUAAAAUAUACUACUACUAUAUAUAAUAUUGAUAUACGUGCCUUGUCGUCUUGUGAGAGAACGAAUAUUUGCUGCGGUAACAGAAGCGACGCGAGAGAUGACCUGAUUGUAGCAGUGCAAAAUUCCCCAUCCUCGUGCUUUUUGUGCAUCUCGGUCUGUGGUCUUGCUAACUUUACGGGUACGGUCGCACAGAGUGAGACAACUCCUAAUCAUCUCUGUUCGGCGACGUUGAUCAGCAGUGCUGCCAUGAAUGGCAAUAUUAAUAUGGUCUCUAGGAGAGCACGUUGCGAGUCAACUAAAGGGGGCUGUCCAGAGCCAGUUCGAAGUUGUGCUGCAGGAGGAUUGUUUCUCUGACGUUCUGACGUUUAGAAGGAUAGGGAAAGGAAUUGACAAUGAUAUUAAAAACGUUAUAUUAAUAAUAAAAUGUUCUUGCUUUUUGCACGAUUUUGUAAAUGAAAUGAAUGAUAGCAUAAACACGAAAUGGUUGCAAAUGCAAACAAAUUUCGAAAGCGCACACCCACGAGAGCAACCUGAUCCAUUAUUCAUUUCUGGAACCGUCGACCCUAAUGCAGAGAACAUCAGAAAGUCUAUAGCUCUAUUUUUAUGUUCCUCGUCAACAAACGGCAAUUCUUCCUGCGAAUCCAGCGUAAUGGAAGAGCUGUUAACGGGUGAUGCACAGUCUACAACUUUGUGAACUGUAAUAAAUUAGUUUAUAAAAAUAAAUAUAAACUUUUUAAA